rnacentral:sRNA from 1 species
ACACCUUCGUUGUCUGCCCUCUGCCCUAGACAACUACGUGGGAUCGAGCAGCACCCUCUGCUGGGAACAGCUCCCUGGUCCCUGAGUCUUCAGGGGAUGGUUUUCAUUCCCACGUAGCCGCCUCUGGACAUCCCUUAGGAAAGGCACCGUAGGGAUCACGAACCUUUGACGCCUCUACCUGUUUCCCUCUUGCUUCUCACCUUGUUGCUCCUUUCUUGUGACUCGAAGCUGAGUACCUUGUGAUACUGCAGAUGCUUGGAGAGUUUCAAGCCCCUGCGGACACUUUAUCCAAGGAAGGAUAUCAGGAUAGGGCUUCUACCUCUAGGCCUAUCACAACAGCUCUCUUGCAGAUGGUGGACCUGCUGGUUCCGGGUGGAGCUGACCAUCCCAGAGGCAUGGGUGGGCCAGGAAGUUCACCUUUGCUGGGAAAGUGAUGGAGAAGGUCUGGUGUGGCGUGAUGGAGAACCUGUCCAGGGUUUAACCAAAGAGGGUGAGAAGACCAGCUAUGUCCUGACUGACAGGCUGGGGGAAAGAGACCCCCGAAGGUGAGU